ensembl:lncRNA
CAGUUAUACCCUUUCACUCUCAAUAUAGAAGCAUGAGUUUUAUUUCUUUUAUUUUGUUGGAAAUAGUGUUUAUUAGAUAACUAAAUAUAGAGCAUUAUUUAUCCACAUGGAGUCAUGACCAUGUGGGCUUAGAUUCACAUGCAAAUUCCCCUUUUAAUAAUCCUAAUGCAGGGAGUGCUCCAAUCAGAGCGCGAUCAGCCCCAGCUCCCAGAUACCUGAUGCCAGCUUUGCUGGUAAUGUAGGCCACCGAAGCAAAUCCAGAGAGAUUGAGUUGGAAGAGGAGAGAGGCUCUGAGAUCAAUUUGCUUGGCUUCCUGACGACGAGGGGGUGUCUAACUUCUUUUUUUUCUUUUCCACUGUAAAGGGGAUGUCGUUUAAGAGGGAUCAUUAGCUGCGAGCAGCCUGGCUGGGUCAAGGCUGGGAGGCGGAGACGCAGUUGCAAGCAGCGAAGCAAGGUGGAGGCACGAAGGCAGAAGACCAGGUUAAUGAAAGCAUGAGGUGGCUCUUGGGCAGCAGCUUAAAAAAUUUUGGACAUGCUGACAGGGGAAACUAUGACUGGCUUAACAGUGAACCAGGUGGGCCACUUCUGGAAACAGAGCUUCAGAGUAGACAACAGAUCAGUUCAACCAAAGACGACAUAGAACCAUUUCUGUGUAUCAUACUGCCUGCCACCAUGAUGCUCUUCCUGGCAUUCCUGCUGCUCUUCCUGUACCGCCGUUGCCAGCGCCCUGCUCAGCAGGGGCAGAUCUUCAGCAUCGACCUUCCCGAGGCCCUGCCCGAGCACGACGUGUCCCAUUUCCUUUCCGCGCUGCCCUGGAGCAGUGAGCAGAGCUUCCACUACUCAACGCUGCUCCCCGAUGCCACAUUCCUGUCUGUGUGUUUGCCUCCGUCCUACGAGGAGGCCACGAUGAAAACUUCUGUGGAAGAGGCUCACAUUGAGCUCUCUCCAGACCCAGUGCCUCCUUACGAAGAGAGCACGCUGCAAACCAGCGACACCAAAUAAACUUCAUACAGAAGCACCUUAGCUGAAGCGUGCAGCACAAAGGUAGAACUGCUAUGGCCUUUAAAAUUUGUGAAAAGAUUCCAAAUGAGGCACAAAACCAAUGAAUUUAUGAAGGAAGAAACUUGAAGUAACAGGGACUGAGUCUCUUCACCUCAUCCUAGGAUUCUCUACCUUCCAUUUGUGGCAAGUGUACACAUGGUGUAGCACCAAAUCCAAUCCAGACUGGUAACACGGGGAUUCUAGUUAACAAACAUGUCAUGCAAGGAUUAAACUUAAGGAAAGCUGGGAAGCUCUUCCUCUGUAAUCCCUCAGCUACAACGAAAUGUCAAUAACGCUAUAGAUUCAGCAAUCACAACAAGGGCUUUUAGCACAUACAUAUUCCAGUUUGGGGGUUUUUUUCUAUUCUAUGCAUUUAUAUUUAAAUGAGUUCUUGUCAAGCUGAGUCGCUCAGUCUGUGUGUGUUUACAUCACAUCAUUCUGCAGUGCUCUGGAAUGAUCACAACAGCUCUCAGGAAAGCAAAUAUAUAACCUCCACAAAAUUUCCAGUAACUGUCCCCAAAGGUUCAAAUGUGCACUGUGAAUAAAGGCUGUCUUUUCUCACA